UACAGAGGUCCCGAGCGUUUGUUCGGAUUCAUUGGGCGUAAAGGGUGCGUAGGCGGCGGGGCAAGUCUGAUGUGAAAUCCCGGGGCUCAACCCCGGAACUGCAUUGGAUACUGCCUUGCUCGAGUACUGGAGAGGGAACUGGAAUUUACGGUGUAGCAGUGAAAUGCGUAGAGAUCGUAAGGAAGGCCAGUGGCGAAGGCGAGUUCCUGGACAGUUACUGACGCUGAGGCACGAAGGCCAGGGGGAGCAAACGGG
rnacentral:rRNA from 1 species